CCCCUAGAUGUUCUGGGCCGCACGCGCGCUACACUGAACAGUUCAACAAGUCUUAACCUUGGCCGAUAGGUCUGGGUAAUCUUUGAACGCUGUUCGUGAUUGGGAUAGACCUUUGCAAUUAUGGGUCUUCAACGAGGAAUUCCUAGUAAACGCAUGUCAUCAGCUUGCAUUGAUUACGUCCCUGCCCUUUGUACACACCGCCCGUCGCACCUACCGAUUGAAUGGUCCGGUGAAAUCUCGGGACGGCGGCUUGGUCGCUUGCGUCCGACUGCUGAAACUUGAUUAAACCAUAUCAUUUAGAGGAAGGUGAAGUCGUAACA
rnacentral:rRNA from 1 species